GGAGCAUGUGCACGCCUGUCUUGACUUCAUUCAUCCACCUGUGCACUAUUUGUAGUCUUUGGGGGGCUGAUAAGUGGCCGACUGUCAGGAAAGGCAUCUUUCCUGGAUAUGAAGAUUGCAAGUGUGAAAGCACGGCUCUCUUCUACUGGUCAUGAACCACCCCCAAGGUCUAUGUAUCUAUUCAUAUACCAUGUAGUAUGUUGCAGAAUGUCUCAUAUGGGCCUUUGUGCCUAUAAAAUCAUAUACAACUUUCAGCAACGGAUCUCUUGGCUCUCGCAUCGAUGAAGAACGCAGCGAAAUGCGAUAAGUAAUGUGAAUUGCAGAAUUCAGUGAAUCAUCGAAUCUUUGAACGCACCUUGCGCUCCUUGGUAUUCCGAGGAGCAUGCCUGUUUGAGUGUCAUUAAAUUCUCAACUCCUCCAGCUUUUGCAGCUGGCUUGGGGCUUGGAUGUGGAGGUUUGCUGGCCCUUUGCUUGGGAUCAGCUCCUCUGAAAUGCAUUAGCGGAACUGUUUGCGAUCCGUCACAGGUGUGAUAAUUAUCUACGCCAGUGGGGUUGCUCUCUGUAUGUUCAGCUUCCAACCGUCUCUGCUUAAGAGACAAUUUCUGAAUACUUGACCUCAAAUCAGGUAGGACUACCCGCUGAACU
rnacentral:rRNA from 1 species